rnacentral:rRNA from 1 species
CAUAACUCCCAACCCCUGUGACAUACCACUUGUUGCCUCGGCGGAUCAGCCCGCUCCCGGUAAAACGGGACGGCCCGCCAGAGGACCCCUAAACUCUGUUUCUAUAUGUAACUUCUGAGUAAAACCAUAAAUAAAUCAAAACUUUCAACAACGGAUCUCUUGGUUCUGGCAUCGAUGAAGAACGCAGCAAAAUGCGAUAAGUAAUGUGAAUUGCAGAAUUCAGUGAAUCAUCGAAUCUUUGAACGCACAUUGCGCCCGCCAGUAUUCUGGCGGGCAUGCCUGUUCGAGCGUCAUUUCAACCCUCAAGCACAGCUUGGUGUUGGGACUCGCGUUAAUUCGCGUUCCCCAAAUUGAUUGGCGGUCACGUCGAGCUUCCAUAGCGUAGUAGUAAAACCCUCGUUACUGGUAAUCGUCGCGGCCACGCCGUUAAACCCCAACUUCUGAAUGUUGACCUCGGAUCAGGUAGGAAUACCCGCUGAACUUAAGCAUAUCAAUAAGCGGAGGGAAAAGAAAAUUUUUU